GAUGAACGCUGGCGGCGUGCCUAAUACAUGCAAGUCGAGCGAACGGACGAGAAGCUUGCUUCUCUGAUGUUAGAGGCGGACGGGUGAGUAACACGUGGAUAAACUAACUAUAAGAAUGGGAUAACUUCGGGAAACCGGAGCUAAUAACGGAUAAUAUUUUGAACCGCAAGGUUCAAAAGUGAAAGAAGGUCUUGCUGACACUUAUAGAUGGAUCCGCGCUGCAUUAGCUAGUUGGUAAGGUAACGGCUUACCAAGGCAACGAUGCAUAGCCGACCUGAGAGGGUGAUCGGCCACACUGUAUCUGAGACACGGUCCAGACUCCUACGCGAGGCAGCAGUAGGGAAUCUUCCGCGAUGGACGAAAGCCUGACGUAGCAACACCGCGUGAGUGAUGAAGGUCUACGGAUCGUAAAACUCUGUUAUUAGGGAAGAACAUAUGUGUAAGUAACUGUGCUCAUCUUGACGGUACCUAAUCAGAAAGCUACGGCUAACUCCGUG
rnacentral:rRNA from 1 species